rnacentral:lncRNA from 1 species
GAGGGCCUCCAGGGUGGUGAAUACAUGGAGGUGCUUGGAGGUUGGAACAACUCUAUGAAGGCAGAAGCUCCUGCACUUGGGACCCUUCUGGACCUCGUACUGUGUACCUCUUCAUCUGGCUGUUCACUGUAUACUUUAUAGUAAACCAGUAAAUCCCAACACCAUCACAAUUAAUCUCUUGAGAGGAAUAUUCUUUGGGUUCACAGAAGAUGAAAUCUGAACAACUACCAGAGAUAGAUGGAAAAUCUGGAGAAGCCAAGUUAAUAAAGACCUUCCCCUUUUGUCUUCUGUUCUCACUUCCUAAAAAACCUAAUAAGGCCAUGGGUAACCAACCAACCCAGUUUGCAGGUGGGACUUUUUAGUGCUAGAGCCACUCUGUGACUGAUACCAAAAAUGUGGCUCUAGAUUGUAAUAUAAAAGAUAAAGCAGAUUCUGGGGAUUCAGCUUUUGCUUUGGAAAUUCUACUAGGGAAACCAAGGCAUUGUAAGAUGUUGCAGCUGUCUGUGAUUUCAUUGUGUCUAUGUUUUGGUCUUAAAUUUACUAGUGACGUGGGUCUUGUUUGAGGGGGUAUUCUGAUGGGUCUUAUUAACCCAUUGAAUCUUUGAAUAACAAUAGAGACUUCCUUUUCUCUUGGAAUUAAUUCUCUUGGGUAAGUAACUCAUCCUGUUUUGCCUGGAACUUUCCCACUUGUAGCCCUGAAAGUCCUGCAUCCUUGGAAAUCCCCCAGUCUUGGGUAAAUGAGAAAGGUCAUG